rnacentral:rRNA from 1 species
GAUGAACGCUGGCGGCGUGCCUAAUACAUGCAAGUCGAGCGAACAGACGAGGAGCUUGCUCCUCUGACGUUAGCGGCGGACGGGUGAGUAACACGUGGAUAACCUACCUAUAAGACUGGGAUAACUUCGGGAAACCGGAGCUAAUACCGGAUAAUAUAUUGAACCGCAUGGUUCAAUAGUGAAAGAAGGUAUUGCUGUCACUUAUAGAUGGAUCCGCGCCGCAUUAGCUAGUUGGUAAGGUAACGGCUUACCAAGGCGACGAUGCGUAGCCGACCUGAGGGUGUGAUCGGCUACACUGGAUCUGAGACACGGUCCAGACUCCUACGGGAGGCAGCAGUCGGGACUCUUCCGCAAUGGACCAGUGCCUAACGGAGCACCGCCGCGUGAGUGAUGAAGGUCUUCGGCUCGUAAAACUCUGUUAUUAGGGAAGAACAAAUGUGUAAGUAACUAUGCACGUCUUGACGGUACCUAAUCAGAAAGCCACGGCUAACUACGUG